rnacentral:tRNA from 1 species
GGGGUUGUGGCUUAGUGGUAGAGUGCUUGCCUUGCAUGCAUGGGGCACUGGGUUUGAUCCUCAGCACCA